UUGGCAAAAUUAAAUAAAAAUUUUGUAUUGUUCAGACUUCAGUAGGGGAUAAUAACAUUAUGAAAUCGCCAUUAGUGUUUACAGUAAAUGCUUAUAUCACAUCUCCCCCACAUGUGACCACUUUCACGUAACCCAUCUGUUAGUGCGUUUCUGGACUGACAAUUACUUUCACUUUCGUUGGUGCCUUAUCCAAAGGUUUGAAACCAACUUCUCUGCUCUUCCACCGAUGAAAUACUGAACAUAUUAAAAAUAUUAAUUGGAUCGAACUGUUCUCUUUUGUUUUGAGUGUAGUGUCUCUGAGAUAAAGAGCAAACGACGAAAGAAAGCUUUCUAUUACAUGGUAUCUCACCAGAAUCAAUCUUUUUUGGACCGUAUUGCAAUGAGGAAAGCAAGAUGAUCGUUGUGUAUGAGUAUAU